UACGUAGGGGGCAAGCGUUGUCCGGAAUCAUUGGGCGUAAAGAGCGUGUAGGCGGUUCGGUAAGUCGGCUGUGAAAGUCCAGGGCUCAACCCUGGGAUGCCGGUCGAUACUGCCGGACUAGAGUUCGGAAGAGGCGAGUGGAAUUCCCGGUGUAGCGGUGAAAUGCGCAGAUAUCAGGAGGAACACCCAUGGCGAAGGCAGCAGACUGGGCGUUUCCUGACGCUGAGGCGCGAAAGCGUGGGUAGCAAACAGG
rnacentral:rRNA from 1 species